rnacentral:tRNA from 1 species
GGGGCUCUAGCUCAAUCGGCAGAGCGGCGGGGUGAAAUCCCGCAGGUUGGGGGUUCGAUGCCCUCGGGUCCCAC